rnacentral:tRNA from 1 species
AAGACACUGGUAUAAAGAAAACACACCGCUUUGUCAAGGCGGAGUUGCGGGUUAAAUACCCGCGUGUCUUA